rnacentral:lncRNA from 1 species
CUGAGGAUUGUGAUUCUGCCUAUAAGAUUUGGCCAAUUUGAGGUGAUCAUCAAAAAUUUGAAUCUCACUUUGGCUGACAUCAUAAAUAAUUGAGUCCAGCCCUGAGGCCUCAACGUAGUUAGUUAUGGAUAGCAGAAUAACCUGGAGUUCACGCUGUUGAUAAUACUUCCUAUUUACCUGGAUUUUGUUCCACAGUUGUUUAGUGUCUGUUGUCCAGAGUCACAAAAGCACAUCGAUCAAAGAAAAACCAAGACAAAACAUGUUGACUGAUAUUCAACUGAAAACCAGACCUCUGGAAAUGAAACCUCACCUUCAAGAAGAAUCAGGAACAGCAAUAGAACUCUG